AUCGAGACCAUGGUUGUGACUGACCCCAGGAAGACACAACAGUCAGUGACUAUGUCUGAGAGGAGGGAGCAGAUACCUGAGAAUUCGGGAAUAGACUCUGCUGUGCUUGACAAGAGGUGGGCCCACUCUUCAAGCCUGAAAACAACCUGAUGAGAAAUCAGGAGUAAACAUUUAGAACUUUCUAGAAUCAAGAAAACAAUGGUCUUCAAUACUGGCCUUAACCUCUGAUGACUAAGAAGCUGCAAGGUAUGACCUUCAGAUGGCAGAGGAUGGAGGGCCCCUCCUAAGGGAUGUGGUCCCCUCCCCGAGGCAGUCUUCUUGUGCUAAGUUCCCUAAUCUUCUUAACAGGCUCAGGACGCCCCAGACCAGCACUCCAGCCAAGAAGUUCCCACCAGCAGUCAGUGACUGUGAAACAGAGUGGCUGUCUUCCAGUCUCUGGGAGGUCCAUUCUUAGGCCACUGGGGCAGAGCCUCCCCUCUUGAGGCAAUUCCUGAUGAAAGUCCCCAGGGCCACCAGGGGGAUGCACAUGGUAGAUGAAGCCACCAGCAAACCGAUGACAGCCAGUGCAUGUGGGGGGUAAUCCUUGGUCACCAACUGCCCCUGGGAGAAGAGACUGAGCAUCAGGGGAAGGUUCCUCCUAUCAAAUACAAAAAGAAAUACUCACCCAAGCCUUCUUCUAUGAGGGAAAGAUGCUCUACAGUGAGAAGAGGCCUGUGAUGCUCCAUGGCUCUGCGAUUCACAGCAAGCCUUCAGAGAAACUAUGCCCACUCUCUCUAUAUG
rnacentral:lncRNA from 1 species